AUUGAACGCUGGCGGCAUGCCUUACACAUGCAAGUCGGACGGCAGCACGGGAGCAAUCCUGGUGGCGAGUGGCGAACGGGUGAGUAAAGUAUCGGAACGUGCCCAGUCGUGGGGGAUAACGUAGCGAAAGUUACGCUAAUACCGCAUACGAUCUAUGGAUGAAAGCGGGGGAUCGCAAGACCUCGCGCGAUUGGAGCGGCCGAUAUCAGAUUAGGUAGUUGGUGGGGUAAAGGCUCACCAAGCCGACGAUCUGUAGCUGGUCUGAGAGGACGACACGCAACACUGGGACUGAGCAACGGCCCAGACGCCUACGGGAGGCAGCAGUGGGGAAUUUUGGACAGUGGGCGAAAGCCUGAUCCAGCCAUGCCGCGUGCAGGAUGAAGGCCUUCGGGUUGUAAACUGCUUUUGUACGGAACGAAAAGGUUUGGCCUAAUAAGCUGAGCUCAUGACGGUACCGUAAGAAUAAGCACCGGCUAACUACGUGCCAGCAGCCGCCGUAA
rnacentral:rRNA from 1 species